AUGAGGAAGUGGUGGUGGAAAUGGAAUGCAAGGGUGGCUGGGACACACUGCUCUGUGCUGACACCCACCACUAUGCCGUGGGUCUGCUGGCCAGGUGAGACCCCCUUUUCCCCACGGCCUCUGACAUUUGUGCCCCAUGCUGAGGUUGCCCAACACAGUCCCCACUGUCGUGGGCCAGAGGGCCUCAUCACCGAGGGACGGCUAAGGAGACUGGAAAAGGCUGCGAGAGGAGGGUGCCCACAAGGAGUCACCUCCCAAAGGGCCCAAGUCCCCUUGCAGGAUGGUGGUCAAAGAUCAGAACUCUGUGAAUCAGUCCUGGGAGAUGUUUGUCCCCCUGGCUCACAGUCUUGGCUACUUUUUCACCCUGGCAGGGAGAUGUCGUCUGCCUCUAUACCCUUGUGUUCCCACAUCGUUCCCUACCUGCUCCAGCUGCUCAGCACACAGGAGGCACGCUGGGAUCUGCCUGCCCUGGCAUUCCUUGUGGAGAUCCUGGACUACCUGGACUUGAGCGAACGCAGCACUAACAGAGUCCUGGAAAUCUUCUCAAGGCACCUGUGGAGUGAGAGCAGGGACAAGCGUCACCUGGUGUUCAGGGCCCUUUUUAAGUUGAUUGACAAUCCCUUGAUGGUGAGAAGUGGGCAGUGGCUGAAGCUGCACCGGGGAACGCAGUCACUUGGGCUUGGCUGGGCUUUGGGCACCGAGGGAGCUGCUCCCAGCUCUCCUGCCUCCUGCUUCAGUUGCCUGAGUGCUUUGGGACAGGCCAUUGGCCUCUUAGCUCUGUGGCAGCAGGGUGGGGUUUCACAGACUUGUCUUCCACACAGGCUGAAAAAAUGCGGAGCCUGACUGAAAGUCUUGUAGAUCUCCUGUGGGAUGCAGAUGGAGAGAUAGUUAGGAUGACACUCAUGGUGCUCAGCUUUAUAGAGUUGGACAAGGACAUGCUGAUACCCAGCCCCAUGGCCCUGCAGCUGGCUGAGACGCUCCUGCCACUCUUUGACCACGUAAGGCUCUGUGCCCCCAGCCGACGCCACUGGGUGCUGCCUGGACACUUGGUGCCCUGUGGAUUCUCAGGCCUGUGCCCUGCUGAGCCCCAUGCAGACAGGGCUGAGGUCUUUUUUCCUUCCUUUCAUAUAGGAUAAUAGCCAGGUGCAGCUGGUGUCCAUAUUACUCUUCUGAUCAUUGAUGACUCUUCUAACAGAAAAGGAAAAAAAGGCCCUGAAGUCACACAUGCACCAGAGCCUGCUGCCACUCUUCAUCCACUGCCAUGAGGAGAACCAGGAGGUGGCAGAGGUGAGGACUCCUGGGCUGCUGCUGUCACCUGGGGAGGGGGCUCGGCCGCCUCCUGCCCUGGCCCCUUGCCGGCUGCAGCCUCCUCCAGGCCUUGGCACACGAAUGCGGGUCCUGUGUCCUGACUUGUGGGGCCAUCUGCGGGUCUCUGCUACUCUCCAGGCUUCUUGGGCAAUGCUGCUUUGUGCGGCUGAGUUCCUGAAGAGGAGAGAUCUUGAAAGACCUGUGAAGAAGAAGAAGAAGCUGUGGAUGAUCACUGAGUACCUGGUAAGGAUGGCUUGGAAGGCCCAGCCUCAGCCUAGAGAAGCCCCCUGUCCCCGGCGCUCGGUGUGUGGGGUUGGCAGCUGUGGCCCUGCCCAGAGCCGCACCCGGGAGCCGCACGGCUUCUUCUCUGAGUUCCUGUGGCCCUGAGCCGGGUGCCGAUAGAGCCCCGGCCCAGCGGGGCUGCGGGCCAGGCCGGCACCGCGGCUCCCCAGGCAGCAGCCGGCCCUCUGCCCCCUCCAGAGCCCGGCGCCAGCGGCUGCUGGCCGGGCCUCAGGGCUGGCCGGGCACGGGAGGCCAGGACUGGCCGCAGGCAGCAGUGCCCGGCCGAGGGGCAGAGCCCGCGCCAACCCUUCCCUCCUGCCUCUCUCUCCAGCUGGCACAGGACGAGGGGCGAGCAUCUGAGCACCUGCGCCAGGCCCUGCAGUACCUGCAGAGCCUACAGGAGCCCCUGCGAGCGGCCGCCAUCAGAGUCAUCGGUGAGUCACGAGCCCGGGCUCCCUCCUCGCCCCGCAACAGCUCGGCCCCAGCCCCGGCUGCUGCCCCGGCAGCGGCACCCGGGCCCAGCGCCCUGGAGCCCCGGCUGGCCUCGGGGCUACUGCUGCCAGCCUCUGGCAGCCGUGCCCUUGGGCUGAGUCAAGAUGCGGCAAGGGCCCGGGCUGAGCCCUGCCAGGGCAGGAGGCCGUGUGGCAACAGGGCUGGCAGCGCCGCUGGCAGGGAGCUGUGCUGCUGGGGCCCUGACAGGCUCUGUGUUCCCAGGGAUGACCGGGCGGCUUCUGAGGGGGAAGAAGGAAGAGCUGCAGCUCAUUUACAAAUGUGAGUGAGGGCAGCCGGCUGGGGGGCUGGCGGGUGGAGCUGCAAGCCCUGGCCUGGCUGUGGAGGGCUCUGCUCCCUGUGCUGAUGAGGGGUCGCGUGAGCAGAGCACACCGAGACUUCAGGGCCACGUGGGGCAUUUGUGGCCAGCAGCUUUGGGCUGAUCCCCUUGGUCCCUGGUCCCUGCUGGCAAUGGCAAGAGCUGGCUUGUUACACGUAUUUAUAGUGUUAUGAUUGUAAUUGUUAGUCUGUUGGUAUGUUCUUGUUCUCCCCUAUUAACUGUGUUGGUUUUGACCCCAGAUGUCAAUUAUGUAGACCCUCCCCUUAUUCUCAAACCUUCCCUGCCCGUCACCCUGGCCUGCCCUAAUCCCCUAUCCAUCAUUGUAAACCCGACCCUUUCUUCCAGAACCUUCCAUGCUCCUCACCCCUAGUUCAGUUCCCGAUUGGUUCCCUAGUUGCCGUCCCGCCCAUGACAUGUCCCUAUUGGUUCCCAGUAGUGUAACCACCUCCCCUCACUCCUCCUCCCCUGAUCCCUCAUUGGACCCUGAGUUGUACCCUCCCCUGGGGAUCGAGCGGUAUAUAACGUAUAUAACCUGUGCACAGCUGUGUUGGGGGCUCUCCUUCCUCGUCGGGUUGUGAGUUGCAGGGGUUCAGGCUAGCCUGUCUUCCUACUCAUGUUGGUAUUUUUGUCAUUGAAUAAAGGUUUGGUUACUUCUUUUAACA
rnacentral:lncRNA from 1 species